rnacentral:rRNA from 1 species
GACGAACGCUGGCGGCGUGCUUAACACAUGCAAGUCGAACGGAAAGGCCCUGCUUUUGUGGGGUGCUCGAGUGGCGAACGGGUGAGUAACACGUGAGUAACCUGCCCUUGACUUUGGGAUAACUUCAGGAAACUGGGGCUAAUACCGGAUAGGAGCUCCUGCUGCAUGGUGGGGGUUGGAAAGUUUCGGCGGUUGGGGAUGGACUCGCGGCUUAUCAGCUUGUUGGUGGGGUAGUGGCUUACCAAGGCUUUGACGGGUAGCCGGCCUGAGAGGGUGACCGGCGAGAUUGGGACUGAGAUACGGCCCAGACUCCUGCGGGAGGCAGCAGUGGGGAAUAUUGCAAAAUGGGCGGAAGCCUGAUGCAGCAACGCCGCGUGCGGGAUGACGGCCUUCGGGUUGUAAACCGCUUUCGCCUGUGACGAAGCGUGAGUGACGGUAAUGGGUAAAGAAGCACCGGCUAACUACGUG